CGUGGGCCUCAUGGUUGAGAUGCCUCUGCCUGUUGCCUCAGCUGCUAUAUGAGAAACAUGACGGACCCCUGCUGGUGUUAGAGAUGAUUACUCACUGCGGAGUGCAGCAUAUCCCCCGUGGCUCCUCCUUAUCGUGACUGGGAUUCCCUUUACCCGCCACAGCAGGGUUAUUCAUAAUGUAACCUUGAUGGUCCUGAUGGUUUCCAGUGUUACUGGCAUGACAAGCAGAGCAGAUCCCAGCCGAGAUGUUUUCUAUGCCCCACAGACGAGGCAGCGCCAUAAUGGCCUGGGGUGCUUUUUCCUUCAGUGGAACAAUGGAGCUUCAGGAGGUGCAGGGGUGUCAAACAGCUGCUGGCUAUGUCCAGAUGUUGCAGAGAGCAUCCCUCAUGACUGGGGGCCGUCGUCUGUGUGGUAACAACUGGGUUUUUCAACAGGACAACGCUAAAGUACACAAUGCCGGCAGGACAAGGGACUUCUUCCAGGAGAAUAACAUCACUCUUUUGGAUCAUCCUGCGUGUUCCCCGGAUCUAAAUCCAGUUGA